rnacentral:rRNA from 1 species
ACGGGAGGCAGCAGUGGGGGAUAUUGCACAAUGGGGGGAACCCUGAUGCAGCGACGCCGCGUGAGCGAAGAAGUGCUUCGGCAUGUAAAGCUCUAUCAGCAGGGAAGAAAAUGACGGUACCUGACUAAGAAGCCCCGGCUAACUACGUGCCAGCAGCCGCGGUAAUACGUAGGGGGCAAGCGUUAUCCGGAUUUACUGGGUGUAAAGGGAGCGUAGACGGCAUAGCAAGUCUGAUGUGAAAACCCGCGGCUCAACUGCGGGAUUGCAUUGGAAACUGUUGAGCUCGAGUACUGGAGGGGCAGGCGGAAUUCCUGGUGUAGCGGUGGAAUGCGUAGAUAUCAGGAGGAACACCGGUGGCGAAGGCGGCCUGCUGGACAGUAACUGACGUUGAGGCUCGAAAGCGUGGGGAGCAAACAGGAUUAGAUACCCUGGUA